ensembl:miRNA Gm25361 predicted gene, 25361
UGUAUAUUUUGUGUUUACUCCUGUGUGUGUGUGUAGCUAAGUGUACACGCACGCACACACACACACAUAUAUAACC